rnacentral:lncRNA from 1 species
AUUGGUGAGAUAGCUUGUUGGAGAAGUUACUCAAGAUACCCAGUCAAACUAGGGUUUCCAAGACAAAUCACCCUCAAACUCUUGAAGAAACUUGAUCAAUAUAACAUGUAGAGAACAUUGGGACUCAUAUAUGAUGUUCAUAACCAUUAUUGAAUCAAUUCUUGGUUGUGCUCUUUGUUCAUGAGGGUCUCAAACCCUAGAUGUGAA